UACAGAGGUCUCAAGCGUUGUUCGGAUUCAUUGGGCGUAAAGGGUGCGUAGGCGGCGCGGUAAGUCGGGUGUGAAAUCUCGGAGCUUAACUCCGAAACUGCAUUCGAUACUGCCGUGCUUGAGGACUGGAGAGGAGACUGGAAUUACGGUGUAGCGGUGAAAUGCGUAGAUAUCGUAAGGAAGACCAGUGGCGAAGGCGGGUCUCUGGAC
rnacentral:rRNA from 1 species